CCUCACCAGAAGGCCAUCCCAGGCAGUGGAGUCCAAAUGCCUCUCACCUCUGCAGCCUGGAAUUAUCCAUCAGGGUAUUCUAAUCAGCCGCCACAAAUAUCUCUUAGGAGGUUUGAUGCACAUGUGCCACUUCCUCUUCCCCACUCCACCCCCUGUGACUCUACUUAAUGUUCCUCUGAUGGCGCUGGACCACAGGAGCCCACGCUUGCUGACCAUUCCCACUGGGCAGCUCUAGCCCCCUCACAUCGCUUGGCCUCAAAUCUUCAUUCAGACAAGCUGUGGGCCGAUUACUGGACCUCUCUGAACC
rnacentral:lncRNA from 1 species